rnacentral:sRNA from 1 species
CGGGCAGGGGGGUCUCUGCCGCCUGGUAGGGCCUGUCCGUCAUGCAGGGUUGCGCGAGAGCGUGGCCAGUGGUUGUCGCUCGGGGGUGAUCGCCG